rnacentral:rRNA from 1 species
CAUUGGCUCAACCAANGUAUGCUUUGGAAACUGUUAGACUUGAGUGCAGAAGGGGAGAGUGGAAUUCCAUGUGUAGCGGUGAAAUGCGCAGAUAUAUGGAGGAACACCGGUGGCGAAAGCGGCUCUCUGGUCUGUCACUGACGCUGAGGCUCGAAAGCGUGGGUAGCGAACAGGAUUAGAUACCCUGGUAGUCCACGCCGUAAACGCUGAGUGCUAGGUGUUAGGUCCUUUCCGGGACUUAGUGCCGACGCUAACGCAUUAAGCACUCCGCCUGGGGAGUACGACCGCAAGGUUGAAACUCAAAGGAAUUGACGGGGGCCCGCACAAGCGGUGGAGCAUGUGGUUUAAUUCGAAGCAACGCGAAGAACCUUACCAGGUCUUGACAUCCCGAUGCCCGCUCUAGAGAUAGAGUUUUACUUUUUGUACAUCGGAGACAGGUGGUGCAUGGUUGUCGUCAGCUCGUGUCGUGAGAUGUUGGGUUAANNNNNNCAACGAGCGCAACCCUUAUUGUUAGUUGCCAUCAUUAAGUUGGGCACUCUAGCGAGACUGCCGGUAAUAAACCGGAGGAAGGUGGGGAUGACGUCAAAUCAUCAUGCCCCUUAUGACCUGGGCUACACACGUGCUACAAUGGUUGGUACAACGAGUCGCAAGCCGGUGACGGCAAGCUAAUCUCUGAAAGCCAAUCUCAGUUCGGAUUGUAGGCUGCAACUCGCCUACAUGAAGUCGGAAUCGCUAGUAAUCGCGGAUCAGCACGCCGCGGUGAAUACGUUCCCGGGCCUUG